GACAGAGGUGGCAAGCGUUGUUCGGAAUUACUGGGCUUAAAGGGCGCGUAGGUGUCCCGGCAAGUCAGAUGUGGAAUCUCUCCGCUUAACGGGGAAAUUGCAUCUGAAACUGUCGGGAUUGAGUCAGCGAGGGGAUGGCGGAAUUCCAGGUGUAGCGGUGAAAUGCGUAGAUAUCUGGAGGAAGGCCGGUGGCGAAGGCGGCCAUCUGGCGCUGAACUGACACUGAGGCGCGAAAGCGUGGGGAGCAAACAGG
rnacentral:rRNA from 1 species